rnacentral:rRNA from 1 species
AGGACGAACGCUGGCGGCGUAGCUUAACGACAUGCAAGUCGAACGAGAAUUCGUGGAGUAGAGGUUCGGCCAAUUGAAGCGGAGGAAAGUGGCGGACGGGUGAGUAACGCGUGAGGAACCUGCCUUUCAGAGGGGGACAACAGUUGGAAACGACUGCUAAUACCGCAUAACGCAUCGGAGUCGCAUGGCUCUGAUGCCAAAGAUUUUAUCGCUGAAAGAUGGCCUCGCGUCUGAUUAGCUAGUUGGUGAGGUAACGGCCCACCAAGGCGACGAUCAGUAGCCGGACUGAGAGGUUGAACGGCCACAUUGGGACUGAGAUACGGCCCAGACUCCUACGGGAGGCAGCAGUGGGGAAUAUUGGGCAAUGGGCGCCAAGCCUGACCCAGCAACGCCGCGUGAAGGAAGAAGGCUUUCGGGUUGUAAACUUCUUUUGUUGGGGACGAGUAGAAGACGGUACCUGACGAAUAAGCCACGGCUAACUACGUGCCAGCCGCGGC